rnacentral:rRNA from 1 species
UACAGAGGAUGCAAGCGUUAUCCGGAAUGAUUGGGCGUAAAGCGUCCGCAGGUGGUUUUGUAAGUCUGCUGUUAAAGCGUUAGGCUCAACCUAAUAAGGGCAGUGGAAACUAUGAGACUAGAGUAUGUUAGGGGUAGAGGGAAUUCCCAGUGUAGCGGUGAAAUGCGUAGAUAUCGGAAGGAACGCCGGUGGCGAAAGCGACGUGCUGGACCCCCCCUGACGCUGAGGCGCGAAAGCUAGGGGAGCGAACAGG